UACGAAGGGUGCAAGCGUUAAUCGGAAUUACUGGGCGUAAAGCGUGCGCAGGCGGUUUUGCAAGACCGAUGUGAAAUCCCCGGGCUCAACCUGGGAACUGCAUUGGUGACUGCACGGCUAGAGUGUGUCAGAGGGGGGUAGAAUUCCACGUGUAGCAGUGAAAUGCGUAGAGAUGUGGAGGAAUACCGAUGGCGAAGGCAGCCCCCUGGGAUAACACUGACGCUCAUGCACGAAAGCGUGGGGAGCAGACAGG
rnacentral:rRNA from 1 species